rfam:Scleropages formosus scaffold10232, whole genome shotgun sequence.
AUCUUCAUCUUACCUGGCAGCAUUGGAUGUCAUGACUCCCUCUAAUACUGCCUGGUAAUGAUGAUAGU